rnacentral:hammerhead_ribozyme from 1 species
AUCCAGAUGACGAGUCCCAAACAGCACGAAACGCGUGUCCAGGAU